rnacentral:rRNA from 1 species
CACCGCCCGUCACACCAUGGAAGCUAGUUGUACCGGAAGUCGGUGUGCUAACCUGAAAAAGGAGGCAGCCGCCCAUGGUAUGACUGGUGACUGGGGUG